CACGUAGGGCGCAAGCGUUGUCCGGAAUUAUUGGGCGUAAAGAGCUCGUAGGUGGUUUGUUACGUCUGCUGUGAAAACCUAGGGCUUAACCCUGGGCUUGCAGUGGAUACGGGCAGACUAGAGGUAGGUAGGGGAGAAUGGAAUUCCUGGUGUAGCGGUGAAAUGCGCAGAUAUCAGGAGGAACACCGGUGGCGAAGGCGGUUCUCUGGGCAUUACCUGACGCUGAGGAGCGAAAGCAUGGGGAGCGAACAGG
rnacentral:rRNA from 1 species